GCCGGGCAUGGUGGCACGCACCUGUAAUCCCAGCUACUUGGGAGGCUGAGGUGGGAGGAUUGCUAGAGUACAGGAGUUCUGGGGUGCAGUGCGCUAUGCGGAUCCAGUGUCCGCACUAAAUUCAGCGUCAAUAUGGUGACUUCCCGGGAUGGGGGACCCCCAGGUUGCCUAAGGAGGGGUGAACCAGCCCGGGUCGGAAAUAGAGCAGGUCAAGAAACUGAGGCCCAAAUAAGAAAAGGUUAGACUAUAGCUGAUAAUAAUGAGUGCUUUUGUUAUCCUCUGAACCAAUGCUGCCCAGUUCUU
rfam:Fukomys damarensis contig110369, whole genome shotgun sequence.